rnacentral:rRNA from 1 species
UAGCCAGACUCCUACGGGAGGCAGCAGUGGGGGAUAUUGCACAAUGGGGGAAGCCCUGAUGCAGCGACGCCGCGUGGGCGAAGAAGUAUUUCGGUAUGUAAAGCCCUAUCAGCAGGGAAGAAGAAAUGACGGUACCUGAGUAAGAAGCACCGGCUAAAUACGUGCCAGCAGCCGCGGUAAUACGUAUGGUGCAAGCGUUAUCCGGAUUUACUGGGUGUAAAGGGAGCGCAGGCGGCACGGCAAGCCUGAUGUGAAAGCCCGCGGCCCAACCGCGGGACUGCAUUGGGAACUACCGGGCUGGAGUGCCGGAGAGGUAGGCGGAAUUCCUAGUGUAGCGGUGAAAUGCGUAGAUAUUAGGAGGAACACCAGUGGCGAAGGCGGCCUGCUGGACUGCGACUGACGUUGAGGCCCGAAAGCGUGGGGAGCAAACAGGAUUAGAUACCCGCGUA